CAGGUAUAAAUAAGAUAAGAAGAGAGCAAGGAAGUAAAAGAAAGGAAGGAAGGAAAUAAAGGAAAGAGGGAGGGAGGGAGGCAGGGAGGAAGAAGAUUCCUCUUUUAUCUUCCAUCUGCUUGUCACAUUCAGGAGACAUGUGUAUGAGUCAGAAAGAUGAUAAAUGGUUGACUCUAUAGAAUGUUAUUGUAAAGCGAAUGCAUCUACAAUAGGACCAAUCCUAUUAGUAAAUAUCAGAGAACAGCUGCUUUUUUUAAUGGGCUAAAUAUGAAAUCAUCUCGACUAUGGAAUUCUUCUGCUAAUUCAUAGAUAUAAGUUUUCACUGCUAGUAGCUA
rnacentral:lncRNA from 1 species